CUAUCAAAUAGGGCGUAAAAGAUUAUACCAACAACACAUUGUUAAGUGGACAUUGAAAGCACCAAUAAGGACAAGGAAAUGGAGAAUGGGAUUCGAACAAGAUAAAUGAAAUGGGCACUUACAAUCCUUAGUUUGUGCAGCGAGACAAAAAAUAACAAGGCAAAAACAAUCCCGUGAGACACAGGUGAAAAAAAGGACAAGCAGCCAUGAUCUCAAUCUUUAUUUUCUGGUUGAUAGGUCAACUUUUAUUUACCAGCUAAAAUAAACAAACAAAAUAUCAUUUUGUCAAUCUCUGCAUCCCCUACAAUCAUGCUACACCACAGGUCAUCCUUUUAAUUAUGUCACCAAGUGCCAAGUGUAUAACUCAUUGAAAAAAUGGCAGAUAUCAUGUCACAAUCAUCAUAAGAAUAGUGCAAAUAAGUAACCUUGACUAUAAGAUAAUGAAGUUGCCAACUUGUCAUUCAAGAGAGUAGAUUCCUGACGUGGAAAAGGAUAUGGAUAUCUCCAGACAAACUCCAUGUGCAAGUGAAGCUGCAUAGGUCAUAGCUCACAGAUCUACCAUAAACUGACUUCUCUUGUUUUUUUGAAUUAUAGCAGAUAUCCCCACCUGUAGACAAAUAUCAAUUUCUAAUCAUAUAGUGUGUCACAAUGACAGAAUAAAUACGUCAUGUAGUAUGUCACGAUGACAUAAUAAAUACGCAUGACUAGAGCCAAGAAACGGCAUUUGCCAAAAUGACUUCUCCAGACAAAUGCACAUGCAGGGGAAGGUGGGUAGGUGAUGAGUGUCGGAUAUGCGAUGGCUAGACCAUGCUGUUAUUGAAGGAACCAACUGGAACGACCUUGCUAUAUACCACUUCUAUGUAGUACUUCCAUGUGCGUUAUCUUCUGUUACUGUGAGGAGACACCAUAUACACAUGCAAAGUUGAGGUAACGUGAAACCCAGGUAAUGGGAGAAACGUUACUAUUUACUAUCAAAGCUUGUUAUGUGGGUCUCAAUAAAUCAUAAAAUUGCCCAGAUCUAUUAUAACUCUCCUGCUGCAUGCUAUCCUUCCUUCUUGCCAGUCACUGCAUAGACAAGGGGCAUAUGCUGCUAACCAGGAGCAUCAGCAGUUUAGAUAAUGUACAUCCAGCUAAGUUAAUGGAAUUACAGGCAAAAUCUGGAUAGAACCUAAGCCAGUACCCUACAAAAUUACAGGCAAUGUUCCAAUAAAAAAACCCUAAGAGAAAAGAAAAUUGCAACUAGUAGGUCUCUUAAAGGCCACGAAACUACUUCCAAAUGUGGGAGGCGAUACAUGUCCAGCUUAUUUAGCAGCCUUCCUCCCAUCUCUAGGACCAACUUUUGAUGCAGAAUUUGGAGGGAGUUAAUUACUAAAGGUGAAUCCUGUCAUUUAAAUCGCAUCCAGACUCUCUUCUAGUCACCAUCAUGUGAUAGUUUAAUGUUUUAGGAAGCAUAUGCAAAUUAAAGGCCAAGGAGUCAUUAAUCAGAUUAAUGAAACUUUUCUCAAGCAUCCUGUUACCAAAAUUUGUUGCACUAAUGUUUUAGAAGCUCCACAGAAUAGAAACUGACACUCUUCCCUGUUAAAUAUUCAUGGAAGGAUAAGUUUUCAAAAUACCAAUGAGCAGAUAUGUCAACCACUAAGGGUCCACAACAUACUGAAGAAUCAACAAAAAGCAAUUCUAAUCCCACUGCUUUUCAUUUCAUAUGGUAACAUCAAUAUGCGAUUUCAAGCUACUGAAGUGUUGAAAACAGUGCAUGCAUUUGGAGUUGAAUUGUAAGGAAUCAAAUUUUUCUGAAACAAACAUAUAAUAGAAAUAAAGGGAAAAAACACUUAGGAUUUAAGAAGAAAUAUGGUAAACAAGAAGAGAAGGAAGGAACAAGGAGGAAGACCAGCCAUGAUGGUGUAGACGCACGAAGAGGGUUUUGCUAAAAAAUCCAAGACUGGCUGCUCUUGUUGAUGUUAUGGAAAUGAUCUUUGCUUUGGAAAGUAAAGGAAAGAAGGGAAUAUGGAAGACGGAGGUGUGCUCUCCUGUUCAUAAACGUUGCAUGGGGAGAGGAAUUUUCCAGCCAUGGAAGCAAAUCCAAAAAGUUACAGCAGCAUGAAGACUGGUUAACAACAAGUCUACCCUUCAUAUAUAAUGCCAAUUCAACUCAUUAAGUAGCACCAACCCCUUACCAACUAUCUUCUAUUGACACAUGGUAGACUUACAUGCACGUGUAGACAAAAGCUGUCGCAUGUAAUUGCAAAC
rnacentral:lncRNA from 1 species